GCUCAGCAGUGCAAGUGUGACA
rnacentral:miRNA from 1 species